GCAUGGUUUUGGAUUUAUGGUGUGUCCCACUCCAUGGACUUCCCAUAGUGUACCCCAUGCUAUAGGAAUUUGCCUCUCUGAACCAUUGGCUGGCCUGAUUUGCUGUAGCCCCAGCCACUGAAACGGGUGGCACAUGU
rnacentral:snoRNA from 1 species